GGCUCAGAACGAACGCCGGCGGCGUGCCUAACACAUGCAAGUCGAGCGCGAAUGGGGGCAACCCCCAGUAGAGCGGCGCACGGGUGCGUAACACGUGGGUAAUCUGCCUAGAAGACCGGGACAACCUUCCGAAAGGAAAGCUAAUACCGGAUAAGCCUACGGGAUCCUCGGAUCCUGAAGGAAAAGGUGGCCUCUGUAUACAAGCUAUCACUUCUAGAUGAGCCCGCGGCCCAUCAGCUAGUUGGCGGGGUAACGGCCCACCAAGGCAACGACGGGUAGCUGGUCUGAGAGGACGAUCAGCCACACUGGAACUGAGACACGGUCCAGACUCCUACGGGAGGCAGCAGUGGGGAAUUUUGCACAAUGGGCGAAAGCCUGAUGCAGCAACGCCGCGUGUGUGAUGAAGGUCUUCGGAUUGUAAAGCACUUUCGACCGGGACGAAAACCUGUUGGCUAACAUCCAACGGCUUGACGGUACCGGGAGAAGAAGCACCGGCUAACUCUGUGCCAGCAGCCGCGGUAAUACAGAGGGUGCAUGCGUUGUUCGGAAUUAUUGGGCGUAAAGCGCGUGUAGGCGGCUUUGCAAGUCGGGUGUGAAAUCCCUCAGCUUAACUGAGGAAGUGCGCCCGAAACUGCAGAGCUUGAGUACCGGAGAGGGUGGCGGAAUUCCCCAAGUAGAGGUGAAAUUCGUAGAUAUGGGGAGGAACACCGGUGGCGAAGGCGGCCACCUGGACGGAUACUGACGCUGAGACGCGAAAGCGUGGGGAGCAAACAGGAUUAGAUACCCUGGUAGUCCACGCCGUAAACGAUGAGAACUAGGUGUCGUGGGUGUUGACCCCCGCGGUGCCGUAGCUAACGCAUUAAGUUCUCCGCCUGG
rnacentral:rRNA from 1 species